rnacentral:sRNA from 1 species
CUAUACAACAUAGUAGUAAUUUUCUCUAUUUUAUCCUUGUCUAUUAUUCCGUUAUGUUUUGUCUUCUGUUGCUGUAUUAUCAAUAUUCUGGUAUUUUAGUAUCCUGCAUUCACUAAAUAAUUAAGUGCUGUUUUUAACGUAUUUAAUUAUUACCUAUAAAUUGUAA